GUGCAGCAGGCGCAAAUAGUCUACAAUGGACGAAAGUCUGAUAGUGCGACGCCGUGUGUGCGAUUAAUUCCUUCGGGAUGUAAAGCACUUUUCUAUGAGAUAAAAGCUCUUUAGGUUAAUAGCUUAUUGAGACGGAUAUUAUUAUAGGAAUAAGCUCCGGCUAACUCCGUGCCAGCAGCCGCGGUAAUACGGAAGGAGCGAGCGUUGUCCGGAUUUACUAGGCGUAAAGGGCUAGUAGGCGACUAAUUAAGUUAUAUGUUAAAUCCCACGGCUCAACUGUGGUCCUGCAUGUAAUACUGGUUAGAUAGAGUACUGUAGAGGAAGGCAGAAUUCCUGGAGUAGCGGUGGAAUGCGCAGAUAUCAGGAAGAAUACCAAAAGACGAAGGCAGCCUUCUGGGCAGUUACUGACGCUGAAUAGCGAAGGUGUGGGUAGCGAACAGGAUUAGAUACCCCGGUAGU
rnacentral:rRNA from 1 species